CUGUCUUGCUUCUAAUCCCUGAACGACUAGGGCUUCCUCCAGCAGGACUGGCAUCACCAUCAAGAAUGGCAGGGUCAACGUAAUAUCCACCCCUGGUUCUUUGGUUACAUGUGACAAAAGCAUCCGAGCUGCCUUUCAUCGCUACUUGUUUGGAUUAUCUUCGUCAAGGAUUGUGCCAAAGGCUGUUGGAUACUAUUCGAAAAGACCUAUCGAAACAGCUGUGUAUCGUUAAUUUGAUGUUAUUUCUUGGGUAAUUUUUGCUGACCGAAAGAUUGGAUGGAACUAUUAACUGCAUAACCAGAAGGAAAAUGGAACAUGUGAUGUUUCUGGAUUAACUAAUGGCAAGUGUUUGCCCGAUGGGAAAGAAAAUUAGCAUCUUGAACUCCGCAACCUUGAACUGCCGCAACAGUUGAUUCCUGAGGUUACAAUGAAUGAUUCUUUCAGAACACUGAAUUGGAAUGUAGCACUGCAGCAUGGUUCAAUUCCACCAAGGUUUGUUUGAUACGCAAUGUGAGGCUUUAAGCUUUUGUUUCUGCGAAAAGCUACUUUUGUUCACCAGUCGAUUUUGCAAAUCCUGAUAUUAUCGGCAACAUGCUCCCACUCCUGUGCUAUUUAUAUUCUAUGGGGUUCCAAGUGUUGGUGUCUUUCUCUCAUGUUUUAGCUGGAUGGGAUCUGUUUCAUGUGCCAUCAAUAUGUUUUCUUCUUUGUGCUAGAAGGUUUUUCAAUACACUAUACUCUUGGAGCUGUAGCUUCUUACUGAUGCAUUAUCUAUGAAAUGUAUGGUUCUGGUUGUGCUGCUGUUGUGCUGGCCACAGCCAGUCCUCGUCUUCGACCUCUUCAGUAGAGUUCCUGGUUCAUCGCUCUGCAGUGUGUGUGCAUGCCCUGCUGGAAAAUUCAGUUCAAUUGUUAGUUUUACUGACUUGGCUACUCCAUUCUCCCUUGUUUUAGAUUUUAAAAAAUAAGUACAAAGAGGCAUGCACACCAAUGGCUAGCUGAUUGAGAUCAACUUGUCCGAAAAUGCAAUCUGUAGUAGUUAAAACUAGAAUAACUGUAAUACCAAUCAAUGGUUAUUCCUAGACCAUGGAAUGAACAUUUUUGUGCAGAAAAAACAACUUGGUUUUGCUUUUUGUUCAUAUUAAUUCCUUGCAUAAUAUAUACAGGAGUGGUGCUCUUUGUUUGACUCGCGGUCACAAUGCUCUCAAAUAGAUUGAUAGGUACACACAUGUAUUGAUUGUAAGCUGAAAGAUGCCUUUUUCCCCUGUACGUUGAAGCAAUCAUGUUGUGUGAAACUGUUGUUGUGGUCAGUCUGCUUCAUGAAUGAUUUUGAUUGUUAUUGACUUGAUUGAUCAGUUAGGCAUCAACCAAAACUUGGACAUAGAAAUGUUGCAUGUGUGUGUGUGGCGCUACUAGGUACUAACCAAAUUAUUUGAAUCCCUUCUGCAUAUAGAACUACAGGUGCUUCUGUAAUUUGUGUUCAGGCCCCUUUAUAGCACGGUCACUCAACUAAUAGAGUUUAUGUGGCGAUGAUUUUCAUGCUUCCCCAGGUGCUAGCUACUGCUUGGCUAAGGAAUUAUAUAAGAAUAUAUCCUUUCUACCAUUAAGUUAUGGUUGUAGAACUGAUAAGAACGGAAUAACUGAUGGACUUGGUUUGGUAGUUUCUUAACUUCCUUAAAAAUGCUUGUGUAUACGUGUAGUGCUUUGGUGCAUCCUUGAAGUUCAAUGGUAUUAUUUUCCUUAGUCGAUAUUCUGCAGAUAUUGUUCCUUCUUGCUAUGUUUUAGCAACUCGUCCAACUUUAUAACUCUUGAGUCUUCACACCUGCUAACGUAUUGCAGCUAUCCGUAUAUUUAUUUUCGUAAACAUUCCCAAGAGAACACUCUGUUCAACUAUUUGUCAUUUCCAUCUGUUUCUGCUUUAAAUUUCUUUGAGAAUUGAUCGUAUAUCGGGUUGUAGCGAAACUGGUAAGCAAUACUUAACAUUAGUUGCUCCCUUCAGUUAAAUUUUUUCUUCAAAUUGUGGACAUCUUGUUGAAUGGCUCACGUCUCAAUGUUCACAAUGUCAAUGUACCUCUUAAAUCCUUAUUUAUAAUUAAUGUAUGAAUUUGUGCUAUGGAUCUACACUUACAAAUUGGUUGUUGACUGUUUAAUUGGUUGGUCGAUGUUUGUUGUUGUGUUGGCGAUGAACCUGGUUGCUAGUGGCGCUGAAAUUCUCGUUGAUGUUUUGUAGUUGUGUGGGUCUCCUUUGAAAUUUAUUUAGUUUUGCCAAACUCUGUUUUGGUUUCAAGUAGUAGAUACAUAUUGGCAUGCUUUCUUAUGUUCAAGUGUUUUUAUUUGCUGGGUAACAAAUGAAGGGUACAUGUGUGUUUACUAGCGGCUCUUAUAAGGAGUCUUGUGAAAAUCUCAGUGUUUGCUGACCAUGCUUUGGUUCUUGUUGAAGGAUAACUGACGAGGAGUUAACAGCGGCGGCCUUGUACGACUCUGGGUGUAUGUAUUUUGAAUAGAUGGAGUAGUAGUUGUGCAAGCUAGGUGCAGUUGAAAACAGGUACUGGAGAGGGUCCUAGCACCGAUACCGAUAAUUAUGCUGUAAUUGUUUCCUUUUCAUGUGUGUAAUAUUUGUUGCUGGAGAAGUUAAUUGCCAAUGGUCUCUUUAGGAGAGCUGAGUUGCAGCGUUGAUUUCGUUGUUGAUAAUA